GCACCGUUUUGGGGGCCGUUCCCGUAGUAACUGGCUGCGGCGGCCUCAGAAAUCAAUGUGAGAAAGAUCUGUUUUAAAGAAAAAUCCUUACAAAGGAGUACGGGAGGACAAGCAAAAGUCACAGGGUAAAAACCUGUGAAGGGCAGUGCUAGGAACUUGGACGAAACUUAGAUGGGGCUUUUUUCAGGUAUUAAGGCCACCACCACAGGAGGACAAGACUAAGCAUGUAGGAGGCAGGGUACUCUAGGUGCAAAGUGAGUAGUUGUUUAUCUCACAUGCAGGCCUGUGCCUGCGCCUUAAGGCAAGUCCUCACGAAGUUGCAGGUAGAGGCCCUGCUUAAUUAAGAGAAUAGCCCUCUUUUCUGGUGUAAUUUGCCUUAUGCCAAGAAAUGGGGAGGAGCAGAGCUGCUAAAGAGGUGUCCAGGUCAUGAACUGCUGUCUCUGUGGUGCUUAUCAGAUCAUGCCUCUCAGGUGGCUUCCAGCAAGGACUCACAGCUGCAGAGGCUGUGGAUGUCACUGGUCCUGCUGCUGGAGGAGAUGGCUGAGAAGAAAGGAAUGCACUUUGCAGUCUUCCACGAAUGAACAGAAGGUGCCUAGCAGUGGAGGGAGACCAGGCUGACUGUAAACCACAUGGCUGUGUUGGGUCCUCACUUUAUCUUUGACAAGUUACAUGGAAGAAAAUACAGUUUUCAACAUUCAGCAUGCAAAAUCCUCAUAUCUUCUAUAAAUGGGCAUUUUACAGGCAGUAUAAGAGUAGUCCAAUACUGAACACACUUGGUUCCUGCCCCACCUUUUCCUCAGCAUCAUCUACUUGUAUGACGGCAGAGAUGCUUUUGGCAUGCGAGGUCCUGGGGAAGCUACUAAUAUCUCUGUGACAGUACCUCCUACAUGUUGAAUAAGCAUUUAAUUUGUCUUCUAGCAUUCUCCACCUCUUAGUAAGGAAUGAAAGUUUAUGGAAGCAUCGUGACAUAGUGUUGUACCUGGCUGCUCUGCACAGUGCCUUGCAGCUAUUGUCUGAAGCUAUGAUUCUUCCACAAGACAUGAGUAUGUUCCAAAUUCUUCAGAUCAAAGUAGAAAGUUUAAAUGACUUCUUCACAGCCACAGCUAAAAAUUACAAAAGUCAGGGGUAACUUUCUGGAGCUCUUGUGUACACAGCUCAACAUACAGCUUCUUGACAGAGAUCUUUGUUAAUAAAGUAAUGGUCUGUGUUUAAGUUAUA